ensembl:lncRNA
UUUCUUUGUGAGUCUACUUGGUGGCCAGCAGUUGCUGUUUCUUCUAGGUAAGAUCAUCAGGAGCAGUUUCCAAGGAGACUACCUCCUUGUGGGUUGAAUCUUCAGCAGGUGCAUAUUAGCUCAUUUCCAGCGAAGUCUGCAGGCAGAAAAUCAACUCUGCUCUUGCCUGACCUUCUCACCUGCUUCCCGUUUUAUCCUCUCAUGGAUGCAACUUUCCCUGUAGGAAAAAGAGAUGGAAAUACACAAGAGGUUGGAUAUGUAAAUAACUUUUCCUGACUUUACCUGACACAUUUCAAAUUUGGCUCUUUGCAAUUCAAUACAGUGUCACACUUGGUGCGUGCCAGCUUUGCAUCUGAAGUUAAAGAGCCAGGGAACUGCACCAGAUCAGACCUCCGAGGAAGAAGCUUUUGCAGGAAUCCAUGACCACACAGAAGGAAAACGGAGACAGCAACCUUGUCUCCCAAAGGUGUUGUGGGAUUUCUCACCUGAAAAUCCUGCUUGCACGGCUGCUUCAUUCCGCUGGUUUCCCAGAUCAGUGCUGUACCUUCCUGAUUUGCUGUAGAAGGAUUGCCAUCUCAGCUCGUCUGCACUGCUUAAAGGUGAUGAACAAGAAAAUCCUGAACACCCAACUAAGGCUAUGGUCUGGGUCCAGCAAGAGAGCAGCAUGUAUAUCAGCACCCAAAGUUUUGACUGUAUCUGCUCAGAAGAGUUAAAGACCUUUAUAUCUCAAACUGAAUUUUUCCAGUUUCUGAUAUCUCUGAAACAAGGACUUUUGCUCUAAACAUCGCCUCAAAUGCCAUAUUGUGCACAGCAGUGUGAUUACAAUGAACAAGAACUAGGAGAUCCUAAAACGCGGUGACAGUCCCUAACAUGCCUAAUUGUGUUCUAGCUCAUAUAGUUCGGUAGAGAGGACCAUCCACAGUUCAUAACAGCCAUAAUGGAAAAUUGUAUGGGCCACUCUAGCUAGGCAUAAUUGGGUGGGCCAGAGAUCAUGUUUUCCAACUUUUGGAGCUGUUUAUUUGACCUGUUUUAAUUUAGCUGAGAUGGAAUAAUAUGUUUCUUAAGGAAAUAUUUAGGCAUGAAAACUUUUUAGCUUAAUAAAUCUCAUCUU